UACGGAGGGUGCAAGCGUUAUCCGGAUUCACUGGGUUUAAAGGGUGCGUAGGUGGGCUAGUAAGUCAGUGGUGAAAUCUCCGGGCUUAACCCGGAAACUGCCAUUGAUACUAUUAGUCUUGAAUACCAUGGAGGUGAGCGGAAUAUGUCAUGUAGCGGUGAAAUGCUUAGAUAUGACAUAGAACACCAAUUGCGAAGGCAGCUUACUACGGAUUUAUUGACACUGAGGCACGAAAGCGUGGGGAUCAAACAGG
rnacentral:rRNA from 1 species